AUGAACGCUGGCGGCGUGCCUAAUACAUGCAAGUCGAGCGAACAGACGAGGAGCUUGCUCCUCUGACGUUAGCGGCGGACGGGUGAGUAACACGUGGAUAACCUACCUAUAAGACUGGGAUAACUUCGGGAAACCGGAGCUAAUACCGGAUAAUAUAUUGAACCGCAUGGUUCAAUAGUGAAAGACGGUUUUGCUGUCACUUAUAGAUGGAUCCGCGCCGCAUUAGCUAGUUGGUAAGGUAACGGCUUACCAAGGCAACGAUGCGUAGCCGACCUGAGAGGGUGAUCGGCCACACUGGAACUGUGACACGGUCCAGACUCCUACGGGAGGCAGCAGUAGGGAAUCUUCCGCAAAGGGCGAAAGCUUGACGGAGCAACGCCGCGUGAGUGAUGAAGGUCUUCGGAUCGUAAAACUCUGUUAUUAGGGAAGAACAAAUGUGUAAGUAACUAUGCACGUCUUGACGGUACCUAAUCAGAAAGCCACGGCUAACUACGUG
rnacentral:rRNA from 1 species